rnacentral:lncRNA from 1 species
CAGGCGCCCCCUCCCCGGCCUCCCUGGUGGUGCUGCGGCGGCGGCAGAAGGGCUGUCCCCAGUGGGAGGCGGUGGCCGCCCCCCGGCUGGAGGCGGGGGUCCGGGCCCACGUCCUGCGGGCGCUCAACGGGGGGGACCCGGCGCAGCUGCGGGGGCUGGGGCCCCGCCGGGGGGGGCGCGUCCACGCCUGGCGCCAGGAGCACGGCCCCUUCCGCACGGUGGAGGACCUGGCGGCGGUGCCCGGCUUCUCGGCGGCGCAGGUGGCCACGCUGCUGCAGGUGAGCGGGGACGCGGGGCUGGGGGACAGCGGCCACGCAGGGGCCACGCGGGCGUGGCGGGGGCGCCACGGCGGUGACGCGGUGCCCCUCUCCGCAGGCCAAUGUCCCCGCUGCCCUGGGGACAGCCCCGUCGUUGUCCCCCGGACCCCAAUAAACAGCCGCGAACGCCGACCCCGCCUGGCUGCGUGCGCGUGGGGGCGGGGACAAGGGGAGGGGCUCCUGGAGGUGAGACGAGGCGAUUGGCCGGGUGGGGGGGGGUGGGGCUUCCUGUGCCCUCCUUCUCAAGGUGACCUCGUGCCACCCAGGUGGCCCCAAGUUCAGUAGGUGGCCCUCAGCCACCAAGGUGUCCCCAAGCCGAGGAGGUGACCCCGAGCAACCAAGGUGUCCUUGUGC